rnacentral:rRNA from 1 species
AGUGAACGCUGGCGGUAGGCCUAACACAUGCAAGUCGAACGACAGCACAGUAAGAGCUUGCUCUUACGGGUGGCGAGUGGCGGACGGGUGAGGAAUACAUCGGAAUCUACUUUUUCGUGGGGGAUAACGUAGGGAAACUUACGCUAAUACCGCAUACGACCUACGGGUGAAAGCAGGGGAUCUUCGGACCUUGCGCGAUUGAAUGAGCCGAUGUCGGAUUAGCUAGUUGGCGGGGUAAAGGCCCACCAAGGCGACGAUCCGUAGCUGGUCUGAGAGGAUGAUCAGCCACACUGGAACUGAGACACGGUCCAGACUCCUAAGGGAGGCAGCAGUGGGGAAUAUUGGACAAAGGGCGCAAGCCUGAUCCAGCCAUACCGCGUGGGUGAAGAAGGCCUUCGGGUUGUAAAGCCCUUUUGUUGGGAAAGAAAAGCAGCAGGUUAAUACCCCGCUGUUCUGACGGUACCCAAAGAAUAAGCACCGGCUAACUUCGUG